CACACACGUCUCAUCUCCAUUCUAUCUUUAAGAUCACUCUGUUAUUCAAUCUUAUCUCCUCCCUUCUUGGUUCUCACCCAAACACUAAACUUCCUGCUUAUCCACGUCUCUUCUCUAAUUUAUCUUUAUCUCUCCCCCUUCUCUAUUCUCAUCAUAAAAGAGACCUGUUGAGUUUCUAUUUUAUCUUUAUCUCUCUCUCUCUCUCUUCUUUGUUCUCAUCAUAAAAAGACUUGUUGAGUUCCCUCUCUCCCUAUUUCAGAUUUCGGCUUGAAAGGCUGGCGAAGAAAGCAGAAAAUAGAGUUUCUGCGAAGCAUUAGGGUUAAUUUCCAGAUUCAGUUCUACUUGAAAUUUCAGAUUUCGGCUUGAAAGGCUUGCGAAGAAAGCGUAAGAUAAAGGAUUCAAAACCAUCUUCUUCUUCUUCUUCUAUUUUUUAAUUAUUUUUUCUUCUUUUCCUCAGUUUAGUUAGUGUCUCUAAUGUUACGAUGAAUUAAUUAAUUUUUUUUUGUUUUUUUUUGUUUUGUAGUUUUUGUGUUUCAUGAUAUCAAUGCACUUAGCUGUAUGAAGGGUUGUUUGUAAUCUAGGCUACGGAUUAGUCAAAGCUUUGUAUUGAUCGCUCAUUUUCUCUAUUUAAUCAUUAAUCACCAACAAUAUGUAAAUUAUUAUUAUUAUAAAUUUGAUCUCAUGUGAAUUCGGUCAAA